rnacentral:rRNA from 1 species
GAUGAACGCUGGCGGCGUGCCUAAUACAUGCAAGUCGAGCGAACGGACGAGAAGCUUGCUUCUCUGAUGUUAGCGGCGGACGGGUGAGUGACACGUGGAUAACCUACCUAUAAGACUGGGAUAACUUCGGGAAACCGGAGCUAAUACCGGAUAAUAUUUUGAACCGCAUGGUUCAAAAGUGAAAGACGGUCUUGCUGUCACUUAUAGAUGGAUCCGCGCUGCAUUAGCUAGUUGGUAAGGUAACGGCUUACCAAGGCAACGAUGCAUAGCCGACCUGAGAGGGUGAUCGGCCACACUGGAACUGAGACACGGUCCAGACUCCUACGGGAGGCAGCAGUAGGGAAUCUUCCGCAAAGGGCGAAAGCCUGACGGAGCAACGCCGCGUGAGUGAUGAAGGUCUUCGGAUCGUAAAACUCUGUUAUUAGGGAAGAACAUAUGUGUAAGUAACUGUGCACAUCUUGACGGUACCUAAUCAGAAAGCCGCGGCUAACUACGUG